GGCCUGGAGCACUCAGGGCAGCUCCGGGAGGAGCGUAGCAGCCAGCCCAGCAUAGGGGAGGAACUGGAGUACACGAAAGAGGACAGGAAUGAAUGUUUCCCUUAAAAGCUGACACUUCCUAGGGAGGGAGCCGUCUUUGGGAACUGCUCUGCUGAGGCUCUUGAGUGGAAGAUGAGGCAGAGGCCACAAAGCAGGAGACUUGCGUGGAGAGGGUGGAAGAAAAGGCCUGUGUCCGCAAGCCGCUCACGGAGCUUCCCAGGAGGUAACUCAUUGGAGCUGUGCAGCAUUCUGUAAAGUGGCAAGAACCCGCCCCUCUGCAGGGUCCACAAAGGCAAUGGGGAGUUUUGCUGAUGUCCUGGAGGAGGAGGAACAGGAGACUCUCCAGGGAUCCUGCCGGGAAAAGAUUCCUGCCGAGAAAAGAUUCCUGCCGAGGAGGAACGCAGAGCUUCUCCGAGGUUUACUACUUGCUGGAAAUAGUUGCUUGUGGUUUAAUUAAAGGACAGGGAUUUUACCUGGAGACUCAGUAAAGGUGAAGGUUAUGCCUUGUAGGUCCCUCAACAGAUUUUGCUAAACUGAAUUGAAAUAAAAGUCCAGCUCACAUGUUACUUGUAGAGUAAUAGGGCCUUGGAGCUGGAGAGACAUACAUUGUUUAUGCAUCUUGUAUAUGACAGUCCCCACCAUGGUAUGCAUUUUACCGACCUUCACACCUGCCUCAUCCCCCCCCAUGUUUGUCCCCCUCCACUGCCCCAGGGUUGUCUUUCAGCCAUCUCAGACUGUUGCCUUUCAGCCGUUCCUCAGACUUGUCUAGCUCUUUCUGUCUCCCUGCGUAUGCUCUUGUCUUUUCUUGGAAGGAAACUUCCCCAUUUCUGUCUGGCUACUCCGACUCAUUUUUUCAAGCCCUUUUGGCUCUCCCAGGCAUACUUCGGGAGCUCCUUCUGCUAGUUCCAGCUACAGUCUCUCACACUUCCAUCAAAGCAAUAACCAUGUCAUAACACGAUUGCUUGCUGCAAUAUUGUGAUUGAUAGCAAAUAUACAUUUGGUCAUUCAGAUGACCAAAAUAUAGUUCUUGUAUAUAUUUGGCCUUUGUCCAGAGUUCCUGGCUCACAGCCGCAACACCCUCGGUCUCUUUCUAUUUUGUGUCUUUACGCCCAACUCUUUGGAGCCUCAGGGUCUCAGGAAAUGAUUAAACACAUGGAUUUUGAAGCCGGAUAAAGCCUGGCCUCAAAUUCCAGGUCUGCGCAUAUCAGCCACUAGCUGCUGUCCUUGGGGGGUUACUUAAACUCUCGAAGCCUCGGUCAUUACUUAUGACAUGGGGGUGGGGACGGCAGUGGCGGUGAUGGAGAGGUAAGCGACAAUGUCUGACAUCAAAUGAGAGCAUGUAUCCAAAGCUCUUUGCACAGUUCCUGGCACACAGUGAAGUCUCUGUAUAUCAACCAACAGUUUAAUUGCUAGUUUUUAAGAAAUAUUUUCGGAAAUUCUCUUACAACUUAGAUCUCUUCAAAUCCUGGUGAAAAGAUUCACACCACUUUAGAAACCAGGACCCUGAAUUAUUAGUUCACGAUAAGAAUGCCAAGCAGAUCAGACACCACGUUACCCUCCUGAGGGACAGUGCCAGGGACAUACUGGGAAAUUGUCAUUACCCACCUCACAAUUUUUAGAUUCUGUCAGGCCUAUUAUUCCUGUCUUCCCCAUGUCAUUUUAGCUUCUUUCCACAGCAUGUCACAUUUCCAUGCUAAUUCACACUGAGCUAUGAUAGUGAAAGUCUCCUGGAUUUAAACCCUCCAUCAGAGAAGGUGACCCUUCCCUGAACUUUUGAGUCCAAGAUUUUGGACUCUGUCUUACUCUGAGAAUGGACCCCCUCCCCCUGCCCCCACCCUUUCACCCCCCACUCCAGUCCAUUGAUGACACCGUUUAUUCUCAAAGGAAAGAAAAGCAGGUUUUUAUUUAUGGGCCUGAUGAAGUAUCAUACAGAGUUGCAAAGAAUUCCCCACUGGAAGUUUCUCGGCAGCCAAGGGCUAAGUGCGUUCGUCAAAGACACUACUGAUACAAGGGAACAGCACCAAGUGUCCUCAGCUGCCCUGAGAAAGUCUUUCCCGAGUAUUUGUCUGGAAGUAGGUCUGACAUUUCUGACAUUUGCAAGGGAGCCUGGGGGACUGGUGUCUGAAGCAAGGAAGCAGCUGGUAGCUCUCUCCCACAAUCAGCCCUGAAAUGUUGUGAAAUUCCGUUGUUUUGGACAGCCAGUGCCAGGGGCCUGAGAGAUGUGACAGCGGGUCAUUACAGAUGCUUAAAUCACACCUGGUCCUGGGCCCCGGAGAGCUGGCCAAGCUUUUCUGUCCUUCCCUCUGUCUCUCUGUCUCUGUCUCUGUCUCUGUCUCUUCGCUCUCCUGCCCUUCUUUGUACUUUCUUUUCUUGUGCGUGUAUACCUACACAGAACUUUAAUAAAACCUCUAAUGAAGGUUAAAUAUGUUUAGGAUAAAAAGUACUUUUGUUGUAACUCCUUUUAAAUUAAAGUUCUGAAAGGUCAGGACUGUCUCACUGGAGUAUCAGGAAAGAGUAAAUCUCAAACAUCUUACUUGAGAAAAGAAACUUCAGAUCUGGUUUUGGGGGGUACCGUCCCCACAGAGCUAAGUUUCACAUUUCAGCCUCAAAUUCCGGUGAUGGUGGCUACGUUUAUCUGGAUUGUUCAUUUUCUCCUAAGUUAGAAAACACAGAGUGUGUUAUAUGGCGGGGGGUCAUGUUUACCCAAAUUCAUAAGUUCUUGCCCAGUUCUUCUUCUGAAUGACUGAACUACUCUCGUGGGUAACGGGACUGAGCGAUCCUAUAAAACUCAGAGAUCGCCACCACAAGGCUCCACAUUGGCAAGGAUGCAAUUUCUAAGGCAUCAAGCUCAAUGGCCCAAAGAAGUAUCACCGUGACAAAGGCGUGGCUUUCCAACUUCAGCUAAAAUGACUUUUUCCUGAAGGAUGCGUUUUGGGUCUUUAUGUUGUCAUGGUUCAACUAAUUUCCUCCAGUUGAUGAGACAUGGAGGCAAUCCUCAUCAGCUCAGUCAAGACAGGUAGGUCAGGAGUCUCUUAACUCUUUCCUCCGAGUCCGUACAGUGAUGCUGCCAACAUCUUGUCCUCACAAACCCACCUCCCUCCCUGUCCCUGCCUGGCAUGGAGACAGCUGGGUGUCCCCAGACCCUGGAUCUGCUCCCUUUCCCUUCUCCCCACCUCCUACCCUUUCCCUGAACCCUCUUUUCCAUCUCCCAGCCUAGAACCCUGCUUGCUAUCUCCAUCUAAACAGAGGAGAAGCGUUUUACCCCUGUCUAGGGGUGAGGGCAGGGGGCAGAUGGGUAGUAUUUGCCAAGGUCUGUGGUGUCAACACAUUCAUUGUGGGUGUAUUUCAA